AUCCAGCUGACGAGUCCCAAAUAGGACAUGGUGACGCGCGUCCUGGAU
rfam:Schistosoma mansoni, Puerto Rico, WGS project CABG01000000 data, contig: 0124